UGGCGUGUAGGGCUCGGAGCGUGAACCAUCCGUUCUGCACAUGCGCACAAAGCGCAGGCAAAUCUGAGAGACUUCGGCGUGUACAGUCUGUCUCUAUCGAUUUAUCAAUACAUUAUGCUCGAUUUAUAUAAGAUUUGAUAAGUAGAAGUAUGUAACAGAUGAUAAGAAACAUGGAGUAAGAUGUUUGUUUACUUUUAAGAGCCAUUUACUUCUGAAAAACACAGCAUGUAGGAGGAAAUCACUAAAAGUGGAGGGACUGAGGAAGGCUGAUAUAUCGGCGAUUUUUUGGUCUACUUCAAAAGAACAAAGUAGAAAAAAGGGAAAAAUCAUCUACCAGUUGGCAAGUAAGUCUAACGUACGUUUUACUUGUUGAUGUCAAUUUGUAACCUUACACAGCAGGUAGAGUUACUACUACUAGUAAGUAUAAUGUACUACUCAGAGUAGUGCCCACCAAUUUCAUAAUGACAAAAUCAAAAAUGUGAAGAAAUGUGUCUACACUCUUCAGUGUAUUAACAAAAUCACUUGAAUUACCUGGACAGAUAUUCAGUAAAUAUACACACAGUUGCAGUAGAAAUAAACAUUUUCUGCACACUGAUGCUGAGAUUUGCCUGUAAAUUUGGUGAAUGACAAUUCUGUAUGUCUAUUAUUGAUUUUAAGUUAUAAUUACUUAGGCAAGUCCUCUCUAUCUGAAAUGUUUGGAAUUUCGUUGCUGAAUAUACAAUGUUGCACACUAUAAUAGACAUUUGAUUGUUUAACUAAUAUGUUUUAAUUUGAUUUUUACUACAGUGCACAGCCUAGGUUUUUUCAUAGCCAUUGUUAACUGAAUCGGUCUGUGGGAAGGAGUAUUCAACAUAUGCUUAUUUCUUCAAUUGUCUUUAGUAAUUCAUCAACUAAGAUCUAUGUUGUUUGACUUAGAAGCCUAAUCAAGAUGACUGACACUUUAAGCAUGAUGGCUUUAAAAAGGAAGAAAAAACUCCUCCUCAUAUUGCCCAGCAGCUUUC
rnacentral:misc_RNA from 1 species